GCCAGCAGCUGUAUCACCCUGCAGCUCUCAGCUGGGAGCCCACUGAAGUUAAGCGGGGUUGAGCCUGGUCAGUACCUGGAUGGGAAACCUCCUGGGAAGCUAUGGUUGCUGGUGGAA
rnacentral:rRNA from 1 species